UACGGAGGGUGCGAGCGUUGUCCGGAAUCACUGGGCGUAAAGGGCGCGUAGGCGGUUCGUUAAGUCUGUCGUGAAAUCCCCGGGCUCAACCUGGGAAUGGCGAUGGAUACUGGCGAGCUAGAGUGUGUCAGAGGAUGGUGGAAUUCCCGGUGUAGCGGUGAAAUGCGUAGAGAUCGGGAGGAACAUCAGUGGCGAAGGCGGCCAUCUGGGACAACACUGACGCUGAAGCACGAAAGCGUGGGGAGCAAACAGG
rnacentral:rRNA from 1 species